rnacentral:lncRNA from 1 species
GCCUCUCCAUGAAAAAAGAAAAUGAAAAACAUGCAAAUUAAUUCUUUUUAAUGUGAGAGAAGUAAGUUUGGUCUCAUUCCCAUAUAAUGCAACAAUGUGAGUUUUGGAGUAGUCGAGCAAAUGUUGGGUAUGGAGUUAUCUUUGCUGGAAGCGUUUGACUUUUUAAUAUGAGAUUUUUCAAUGUGAAUCCGGAUAAAUCGAGCCCCAAUAUAAAUAUUGAAUAUCGGCUGAGAAAUCGAAAAAAAACAUGCUAUGUGUUUUUUUUACUCGGUAUGUGACGUUCAGACAAACGAGCCUUUGACCUAAUGAGUUCAGAUGCAGCGACAGCUACGUGUCUUCGUAAUAUUUUCUAAAUCUUUUAACGUUUGAGAGGAAGCUUAGCUGGAGAUCUAUAAUGGUUAAUUAUGUAGGUCACAUAUGUUACUUUUUUAAUACUAAUACCCCAAUAUGUCAAAUAGUUAUUCCUAUUUGUCUUUAAAAAUAUAUAAGAAUAUUGUCCAGUCUUCCAAUGAUUAAGGCUCUUCAUCUGUCUAUUUCCUAUAUGGUUUGUUCCAAUUUGUUGCAUUCAAACUUGUAUAUACUGCAGACUUUUUCAAGUUGUCGUCCAUUAUUUCAGUCCACG